GACCUCAAAUCAGGUAGGAACACCCGCUGAACUUAAGCAUAUCAAUAAGCGGAGGAAAAGAAAAUAACAAUGAUUCCCCUAGUAACUGCGAGUGAAGAGGGACAAGCUCAAAUUUUAAAUCUGUCGGGUUUUACCUGAUCGAGUUGUAAUUUGAAGAAGCGUUUUCUGCGUAUUUGGUCAGCCCAAGUCCUAUUGAAUGAGGCAUCAUGGAGGGUGAUAAUCCCGUCCGGUUGAUCAUUGCGUUUUAUGAUACGCUUUCUAAGAGUCAAGUUGUUUGGGAUUGCAGCUUAAAAUGGGAGGUAAAUUUCUCCUAAGGCUAAAUAACGGCGAGAGACCGAUAGCGAACAAGUACCGUGAGGGAAAGAUGAAAAGAACUUUGAAAAGAGAGUUAAACAGUACGUGAAAUUGUUGAAAGGGAAACGAUUGAAGCCAGUCGUACCUAUGGGUAAUCAGCCUUUUGGGUGUGAUUUUGUGGAGCGUGAAGAGUUAAACGCCUUCAUGCCUGCAUAUUCGUGCACUUUGGGUGUACUUGCCCGUGUGUAAGUUAACAUCAAUUUUGGUGGUCAUAAAAUGGCUGGAGGAAUGUAGCUUCGAUCUUGUAUUGAAGUGUUAUAGCCUUCGGUAGAUGUGACGAUCGGGAUUGAGGAUUGCAACGGAUACCCUUCGGGGCUACCUGUCUGAUCUCUGAUUGUUGCUCUGGUACCGAAAGCUUGCUUACGGUUAUCAAAGUCGAUGGUCAAUAGGUUAGAACGGGUUAAAUUCGUUAAGGAUGUUGACGUAAUGGCUUUAAACGACCCGUCUUGAAACACGGACCAAGGAGUCUAACAUAUAUGCGAGUGUUAGGGUGAAUAAACCCUUACGCGUAAUGAAAGUAAUUUUGGUGGGAUCACUUUUGUGCACCAUCGACCGAUCAGGAUAUUUUUUGAUAGAUUUGAGUAAGAGC
rnacentral:rRNA from 1 species